CUCUCCCCUAGUUCCUCGUACAUGCGACCAAACAUCGCGUUUUUAGCUUUCGUAACCGCCAGCUUUGCUUCUUUCCUCGCUACCUUGUAGAUCUCCAUGUUCGCUCUCCGUUCUUCCUCGCUUGUGCUCCCUACCAACUUAGCAAACGCCGCCUUCUUCACCAUCACUUUUCCUUCGACUACAUUGUUCCACCACCAGUCACCCUGAUGUCUGCCUGAAUAACCCUUGGCUACCCCGAGCACGUCCCGUGGCCCUUUAGGGAGUUAGACUUCAAGAAACUCGCAUUUCAAUUUUUAUCUUUCAAAUUAAUAAUUUAGUCAACAUCUAUAGCCCAUAUACUUUGAGUUGGUUCACUA
rnacentral:lncRNA from 1 species